rnacentral:lncRNA from 1 species
GCAUCUCAUCCAUUCUUUUUGUUUUAGAUGCCCAAGAUCAAAUGGGAUUUGAUUUUUUAAGGCAUUAAUAAGGGUUUGGGGUAUGAGAGAUCUGGUUGGAGCGACAAAAAUAAAAGGAGGAGAGAUGGCGUGCGCUAAGGGGAUGAAGCUCUUCUUUCUUACAUCAAAAUUCUUCCCAAUGCCUCCUCCUCCCUUCUCCACUUCAUCCAACACCCAGA